GAGUUUGAUCCUGGCUCAGGAUGAACGCCGGCGGUGUGCCUAAUACAUGCAAGUCGUACGCACUGGCCCAACUGAUUGAUGGUGCUUGCACCUGAUUGACGAUGGAUCACCAGUGAGUGGCGGACGGGUGAGUAACACGUAGGUAACCUGCCCCGGAGCGGGGGAUAACAUUUGGAAACAGAUGCUAAUACCGCAUAACAACAAAGGCCACAUGGCUUUUGUUUGAAAGAUGGCUUUGGCCAUCACUCUGGGAUGGACCUGCGGUGCAUUAGCUAGUUGGUAAGGUAACGGCUUACCAAGGCGAUGAUGCAUAGCCGAGUUGAGAGACUGAUCGGCCACAAUGGAACUGGAGACACGGUCCAUACUCCUACGGGAGGCAGCAGUAGGGAAUCUUCCACAAUGGCGCAAGCCUGAUGGAGCAACACCGCGUGAGUGAAGAAGGGUUUCGGCUCGUAAAGCUACUGUUGUUGGAGAAGAACGUGCGUGAGAGU
rnacentral:rRNA from 1 species